AACGUAAAGAACCUGCCUCAUAGACUGGGACAACUAUUGGAAACGAUAGCUAAUACCGGAUAACAGCAUUAACUGCAUGGUUGAUGUUUAAAAGUUGGUUUUGCUAACACUAUGAGAUGGCUUUGCGGUGCAUUAGCUGGUUGGUGGGGUAAAGGCCUACCAAGGCGACGAUGCAUAGCCGACCUGAGAGGGUGAUCGGCCACACUGGGACUGAGACACGGCCCAG
rnacentral:rRNA from 1 species